CCAAUGUUCGAUAGAGGCAACAAUAACAGACACCGUUAUGCUCCUGCUUUUAUGAGAAGUUUGGCUGUUAUUUCACCGUUAAGGAUGUUGCCUGCUGUAGUGUUUGAGAAACUCUAAACAUGCUCCCCAUGUGUUUGCUCUGCACCUGGCCUCCACAUGGAUUACCUUACUUAUUCAGCCCCGAGAAUGCAGUUCUGCCUGUCAUAUACUGAGUGUCUGUGGACUUCUGGUUUUGACAGUGGUGACUUUGGGACAGGUGAAGAAUGGAACGGUCUUCUCCAGGGACCAGGCUUCAAGUAAGGUCAUCUUGGGACAAGCUUCCAGAGCAUCCCCAUGAUGCUUGCCAUAGUGAGGCGACUCCAGGCCAUGCUGCUGGCCAUGGGAAAGCAUUCAGGCAAAUGAGAAAGAGAAGACCACAGUGCUCUGGGUGCCCUGAGUGAAAACCCGUAUGAAGAAGCGGCAGCAGCUACUGUAUUGGUGGCCAUCCCAGCAUAGCCAGUGGAAACAGCUCUUGCGCACUUCUCAUGUGAGAUAAGCAGUGUCCUCAUAAUGUUCAUGGAAAGUGAAUAUUAUGGAACAAUUGUACAUGGGGGGGCAAAAUAAACUUGCCUUUUACUUUAUUUUCCAAAAAAUUUUGAAGU